UCGGACGUGGUGCACGGCGCACACCCACUUGUCGUGCUUCGGUCCACAAGAAAUUAUGAAAUGAGUGGCAGCCCGGGUUCGAAUCCUGGCGUUCGAA